rnacentral:rRNA from 1 species
GACGAACGCUGGCGGCGUGCCUAAUACAUGCAAGUAGAACGCUGAAGAGAGGAGCUUGCUCUUCUUGGAUGAGUUGCGAACGGGUGAGUAACGCGUAGGUAACCUGCCUUGUAGCGGGGGAUAACUAUUGGAAACGAUAGCUAAUACCGCAUAACAAUGGAUGACACAUGUCAUUUAUUUGAAAGGGGCAAUUGCUCCACUACAAGAUGGACCUGCGUUGUAUUAGCUAGUAGGUGAGGUAAUGGCUCACCUAGGCGACGAUACAUAGCCGACCUGAGAGGGUGAUCGGCCACACUGGGACUGAGGCACGGCCCAGACUCCUACGGGAGGCAGCAGUAGGGAAUCUUCGGCAAUGGGGGCAACCCUGACCGAGCAACGCCGCGUGAGUGAAGAAGGUUUUCGGAUCGUAAAGCUCUGUUGUAAGUCAAGAACGGGUGUGAGAGUGGAAAGUUCACACUGUGACGGUAGCUUACCAGAAAGGGACGGCUAACUACGUG